rnacentral:hammerhead_ribozyme from 1 species
AUCUAGCUGACGAGUUCCAAAUAGAACGAAAAGCGCGUCCUGGAU